rnacentral:rRNA from 1 species
AGCAGCCGCGGUAAUUCCGGCUCCAAUAGCGUAUAUUAAAGUUGUUGCAGUUAAAAAGCUCGUAGUUGAAUUUCGGGGUCAGUAGGUUGGUCAUGCCACUGGUAUGUACUGGCCUCACUGAUUCCUCCUUCCUGAUGAGCCGUAAUGCCAUUAAUUUGGUGUUGCGAGGAAUCUGGACUGUUACUUUGAAAAAUUAGAGUGUUUAAAGCAGGCUAACGCUUGAAUACAUUAGCAUGGAAUAAUGAAAUAGGACGUUCGAUCUUAUUUUGUUGGUUUCUAAGAUUGACGUAAUGAUUAAUAGGGAUAGUUGGGGGCAUUAGUAUUCAAUUGUCAGAGGUGAAAUUCUUGGAUUUAUUGAAGACUAACUACUGCGAAAGCAUUUGCCAAGGAUGUUUUCAUUAAAUCAAAGAACGAAAGUUAGGGGGAUACGGAAGACGAUCAGAUACCGUCGUAGUCUUAACCAUAAACCUAUGCCGAACUAGGGAUCGGAUGAUGUUUUAAAUUUUUUAAUGUACUCUA